rnacentral:lncRNA from 10 species
GGUAAUUUAUAAAGAAAGGAGGUUUAAUAGACUCAUAGUUCAGCAUGGCUGGGGAAGCCUCAGGAAAUUUACAAUCAUGGCAGAAGGGGAAACAAACACAUCCUUCUUCACAUAGCAGCAGCAAGGAGAAGUGUAGAGCAAAGGGGGCGGAAAGCCCCCUGUAACACCAUCAGAUCUCGGCCGGGCACAGUGGCUCACACCUGUAAUCCCAGCACUUUGGGAGGCCAAGGUGGGUGAAUCAUGAGGUCAGGAGCUCAAGACCAGCCUGGCCAACAUGGUGAAACCCCAUCUCUCCUAAAAAUACAAAAAAUUAGCUGGGCGUAGUGGCGGGCGCCUGUAAUCCCAGCUACUCAGGAGGCUGAGGCAGGAGAAUCACUUGAACCUGGGAGGUGGAGGUUGCAGUGAGCCAAGAUUGCGCCACUGCACUCCAGUCCAGGCAACAGGGUGAGACUCCAUCUCAAAAUAAAUAGACAAGUAAAUAAAUAAAUAAAUAAAUCCAUUAGAUCUUGUGAUAACUCACUCACUAUCAUGAGAACAGCAUGGAGGUAACCACCCCCAUGAUUUAAUUACCUCCCACUGAGUUCCUCCUACGACACAUGGGGAUUAUGGGAACUACAGUUCAAGAUGAGAUGUGGGUGGGGACAAAGUCAAACCAUAUCAUUCUGCCCCUGGCCCCUCCCAAAUUUCAUGUCCUCACUUUCAAAAUGCAAUCAUGCCUUCCCAACAGUCCCUCAAAGUCUUGACCCAUUCCAGCAUUAACUCAAAAGUCCAAGUCCAAAGCCUCAUCUGAGACAAGGCAAGUCCUUUCUGCCUAUGAGCCUGUAAAACCAAAAGCAAGUUAGUUACUUCCUAGAUACAAUGGAGGUAGAGGCAUUGGGUAAAUACACCCAUUCCAAAUGGGAGAAAUUAGCCAAAACAAAGGGACUACAGGCCCCAUGCAAGUCCAAAAUCCAACAGGGCAGUCACUAAACCUUAAAGUUCCAAAAGAUCUCCUUUAGCUCCAUGUCUCACAUCCAGGUUAUGCUGAUGCAAGGGGUGAGUUCCUACCACCUUGGGCAGCUCCACUUUUUUGGCUUUGCAGGGCACAGCCCCCUCCCGGCUACUUUCAUGGGCUGGUGUUGAGUGUCUGCAGCUUUUCCAGGUGCAUGGUGUAAGCUGUCGGUGGAUCUACCAUUCUGGGGUCUGGAGGAUGGUGGCCCUAUUCUCACAGCUCCAUUAGGCAGUGCCCCAGUGGAGACUCUGUGUGGGGGCUCCAACCCCACAUUUCCCUUCCACACUGCCCUAGCCGAGGGUCUCCAUGAGGGCUCUACCCCUGCAGCAAAAUUCUGCCUGGACAUUCAGGUGUUUCCAUACAUUCUCUGAAAUCUAGGCAGAGGUUCCCAAACCUCAAUUCUUGACUUCUGUGCACCCACAGACUCAACACCAUGCAGAAGCUGCCAAGGCUUUGGCUUGCACCCUCUGAAGCCAUGGCCCAAGCUGUACCUUAACCCCUUUUAGCCAUAGCUAGAGUGACUGGGAUGCUGGGCACCAAGUCUUGAGGCUGCACGCAGUAGGGGGGCUCUGGACCCAGCCUAGGAAACCAUUUUUUUCUCCUAGGCCUCCUUCCAGGCCUGUGAUGGAAGGAGCUGCCAUGAAGGUCUCCGACAUGCCCUGGAGACAUUUUCCCCAUUGUCUUGGUCAUUAACAUUUGGCUCCUUGUUACUUAUGCAAAUUUCUGCAGCAGGCUUGAAUUUCUCCUCAGAAAAUGGGUUUUUCUUUUCUACUGCAUCCUCAGGCUGGAAAAUUUUCAAACUUUUAUGCUCUGCUUCCUCUUGAACACUUUGCUGCUUAGAAAUUUCUUCCACCAGAUACACUAAAUCAUCUCUCAAGUUCAAAGUUCCACAGAUCUCUAGGGCAGAGGCAAAAUGCUGCCGGUCUCUUUGCAUAGUAACAGUGACCUUUGCUCCAGUUCCCAACAAGUUCCUCAUCUCCAUCUGAUCACACCUCAGCCUGGACUUCAUGGUCCAUAUCACUAUCAGCAUGUUGAUCAAAGCCACUCAACAAGUCUCUAGGAAGUUCCAAACUUUCCUACAUCUUCCUGUCUUCUGAGCCUUCCAAGUCUCUAUGAAGUUCCAAACUUUCCCACAUUUUUCUGUCUUCUUCUGAGCCCUCCAAACUGUUCCAACUUCUGCCUGUUACCCAGUUCCAAAGUCGCUUCCACAUUUUUGGGUAUCUUUACAGCAGCGCCCCACUCUCUGUGGUACCAAUUUAUUGUAUUAGUCUGCUCUCAUCUGUUCAGCAUGUCUGGAGAAGCCCCUCAGGAAACAUACAAGCAUGGUGGAAGGGGAAGCAAACACGUCCUUCUUCACAUGGUGGCAGCAAGGAGAACUACAG